AUUGAACGCUGGCGGCAGGCUUAACACAUGCAAGUCGAACGAGUGGCGGACGGGUGAGUAAUGUUUGGGAAACUACCUCAUGGUGGGGGAUAACUACGGGAACCGGUAGCUAAUACCGCAUACCAUAGGAUGAGCCCAACGGGGAUUAGCUAGUUGGUGAGGUAAAGGUUCACCAAGCCGACGAUCCCUAGCUGGUCUGAGAGGAUGACCAGCGACACUGGGACUAAGACACGGUCCAGACUCCUACGGGAGGCAGCAGUGGGGAAUAUUGCGCAGUGGGGGCAACCCUGAUGCAGCCAAGCCGCGUGAAUGAAGAAGGCCUUCGAGUUGUAAAGUUCUUUCAGUUGUGAGGCGUUAGCUGCAGAAGAAGCACCGGCUAACUCCGUGCCAGCCGCCGCGGUAAUUC
rnacentral:rRNA from 1 species